rnacentral:rRNA from 1 species
UAAGGAAUAUUGGGCAAUGGACGCAAGUCUGACCCAGCCAUGCCGCGUGCAGGAUGACGGCCCUAUGGGUUGUAAACUGCUUUUGUACGGGAAAAAACCCUCGGUCGAGCAUCGGGGCUGAUGGUACCGUAAGAAUAAGGAUCGGCUAACUCCGUGCCAGCAGCCGCGGUAAUACGGAGGAUCCAAGCGUUAUCCGGAUUCAUUGGGUUUAAAGGGUGCGCAGGCGGAAAGAUAAGUCAGAGGUGAAAUCCCACGGCUCAACUGUGGAACUGCCUUUGAUACUGUCAUUCUAGAGUAUAGUUGGAGUGGGCGGAAUGUAGCAUGUAGCGGUGAAAUGCUUAGAUAUGCUACAGAACACCGAUCGUGAAGACAGCUCACUAAGCUAUAACUGACGCUCAUG